AUGUUUUCUUUGGUACAACGAAAAUGGUGCAACUUGAGAAAGAAGAGGACCCCUCGGUCCACGACGAAUCCAUGUUGGAUGACGACGAUACCGACGAGGACUAUGUGGAGUGAGAGGAUGACGAUUCAGAGGAAGAAGAAUUGCAGCAGGCUGAUCAACCUUCAAAGAAGGCCGUGUACAAACAAGGAGGGGCUCCUCGAGAAGCUCGAGGACAUCAUCGCCUGGCCAGAGAAUGUUGUGGACUGGAUGCACAAGCUCGCCGUCGGUCACGACCAGGGGGACAAGGUCGUCAAGAAGUUGAAGAAGGUCUCAAGCAGCACAAGAAGCAGAGGCCUGGCGUCUCUCCUGGUGGCCUUGCCAGGCGAGGUAAGCAAGGGAAAAAACCAUCAUUGGCCAGAGGAUUCCAGGUUCGGGCAUGGCGGUCGCAGAGGGAUGAAGAAGCAAAACACUGCCGAGACGACCAACGACUUGAGAGGGUUUAACAACAACCACAAGGGCGAGCCGGGGGACAAGAAGAGGAGGAUGUUUUGA
rnacentral:rRNA from 1 species